UUUUAUGGAUGAGGAAAGAAAGUAGUUUCUAGAGAUGGCAUCUACUCCUGGUAAAGAUGCUGUGAA
rnacentral:pre_miRNA from 1 species